GACGAACGCUGGCGGCGUGCCUAAUACAUGCAAGUAGAACGCUGAAGGAGGAGCUUGCUUCUCUGGAUGAGUUGCGAACGGGUGAGUAACGCGUAGGUAACCUGCCUGGUAGCGGGGGAUAACUAUUGGAAACGAUAGCUAAUACCGCAUAAUAGUAGAUGUCGCAUGACAUUUGCUUAAAAGGUGCAAUUGCAUCACUACCAGAUGGACCUGCGUUGUAUUAGCUAGUUGGUGAGGUAACGGCUCACCAAGGCAACGAUACAUAGCCGACCUGAGAGGGGGAGCGCCCACUCGGGCACUGAGACACGGCCCAGACUCCUGCGGGAGGCAGCAGGAGGAAAUCUUCGGAAAGGGACGGAAGUCUGACCGAGCAACGCCGCGUGAGUGGAGAAGGUUUUCGGAUCGUAAAGCUCUGGUGUAAGAAGAGAACGAGUGAGAGUGGAAAGUUCACACUGUGACGGUAUCUUACCAGAAAGGGACGGCUAACUACGUG
rnacentral:rRNA from 1 species